CAACCCCUCUACUUCUUCCAUUUAAAAUUGGCCAAAUUCAUGAUGUCAUUGUCUGUUAUUACAUUAUGAUCAGUUGCUACAAGGUCUGCAGCGCGGUGUGUUUAGGGGAAGUUAGAAAAAAGUGUGAAAGACGACAGGAACAAGCGUCACAAACAUGAUGUCUCUGUGUGUGUUCAGACCUGUGCUUCUCACUCUGACUCUUCUGCUCUGCUCAGGAUCAGUCUCAACUCUAUCAGAGUUUGUGGAAGAGGGAGGAAGUGUCACUUUGCCCUGUAAAAAUUUGAGAGAAGGACAAAAAGAAUGUGAUGGAACCACAUGGGUUUUUAACUCAGUUGAAAAACCACAAGAAACUAUAGAACUUAUUAUGAAGGGAAAGAAUGGCUCCCGUGUCCCACAAACUCUGUCCAAUCGACUCAGAGUGACACAGAAGUGUGAUCUGCAGAUUCACAAUGUUCACCCUCAGGAAGCUGGACUCUUCUCCUGUCAACAAUACGACCAAUCAAGACGUUUCCUGUAACCUGAGGCUACUGUGUCUCUGUCUGUUGUCUCAUUGACUAAAGAAGAAUAUGAGGAGGCAGUUCAGUUAAGAUGUACUGUGUCCUCUUCUCUUCCUGAUGUCAAACCAAAAUGGCUGCUCAACGGCCAAAACGUCAAAGAUCUACGAUUAACCACAAUAGACCUUCGAGGCAGGAAUCAUUGUUACAGUU